rnacentral:snRNA from 1 species
GUGCUUCGAAAUCACAUCUACUAAAAUUUGAAUGCUACAGAGAUGGUCCCGGCGCAAGGAUGACACGCCAGACCACGAAGCGUUCGAAAGUUUC